GUAAAAAAAAAAAGAGAAAGAGAGAGAGAGGCUCGACGCCCUAGCAAACCUCGGCCUCCUUCUCUUCUUCUUCCUCGUCGGCCUCGAGAUUGAUCUGAAAUCUCUCCGCCGCACCAGCCAAAAAGUGAUUUCCAUCGCAGCCGCCAGAAUCCUCCCCCCUUUCGCGAUGGGCGUCAUCACCUCAAGUUUCUUCACCGGAAUCUGUAUCUUCACCACCACCACCACAACCCCCACCACCACCAUCGCUCCCAUCCACCAUCGCUUCUCAGAUCCGUCUUCACCGGAGUCGCCACCACCACCGUCACGCUCGUCAUAACCACCACUCAGCUCUCUGUCUCUCACUUUCUGUUUCUUGUUCUCUCUACAUUGAGAAAGAAGCAUGAGGCGCUCACCAGUGGCAGUUCUUUUACCAAAUCUAGAAGCAUUGCUUCAGGUCUGGUGUUUUUGCUGGUAAAUCUGUUGGAGCUCAAGUGAUUGUUGUUAUUUCUCUGCCUAAACAGACGCAUUUUUGCGUUGCGCGUUUCCAGGGAUAGAGAACAGUUUAUCAAAGGAUUUGGCUGUGGCUCUAAAUGACUCAGAAUCCCCUAGUAGUGAAUUUUUUAAGCCUAGGUUAUCUGACAAGGCGAAGCUUCAUGGAGAGCUUGAUACUGGAAGAAGACAGAGGCUAAGUCCUUUGGUGCUUUCUUAUACCUUUGGUGAUACUGGAAGAAGACAGAUGGAGUUGGUUCAGAAGCGAGGGAAGAGAGAUAGAUGAGAAGCUUCAGGGUGGUGGAAGAGCAGAGAUGUUAAGGAUGAUUAUGAAGGGUUAUUAGUGGUAGAUUGAUAGUAUGUUUGAUAGGUUUUGAUGGUUUGUGUAAAGAGAAAAAUGUUUUAUGGUUGUGUAAGCAUGUAAAUAUUUAUUAGUUUUUACAAAUAUUUGAAAUAUAUAUUACAUUAAAAAUCAAUUCAUAAUUAUUUUUAAUAAA